UCCUCAGCCAAUGGCAGCGAGAGGGCGACUGACAACAACCCCACCCCUCCGCAGUGUGGGUACAUUGAUAAUAAAUCAACGGUGUGCCGGUGGAUGUCAAGAAGUGGAGUUUAAACCGAGAGGAAAAGUCAGUUUAGCCACCUUUUUAUGACAUUUUAUAUUCGACAUCGCUGUUACCCAGUGGAUGCAUUCAACUAAGGAAAGUCACACGGAGGAGGAGGGGUGAUAUAUGCGCAAAUAAAGAGUUUUCUGAAAACAUAAUGCAUGCACAGUAUAAUAGUGAUGUGAAUACAUAGUCCUAUUUCUCAUUAAAAUAUAUAGGCCUAUGUAUAUCUCUAUUCCAGUACAUCACUAUAUUCCAGUGCAUCUUCACUGAGUGCGUAUAAAAGUCAUCCAAUAAUGUCAUUUUUUUUUUUUUCAGAUUGACAUUUCAAAAGUUCCAGACAAUCGAGGAAAAUCAAAACAUCCUAACAUGAAUCUGCGGACACCCGAACAAAACGAAUGAAAGCUUAUUAUUUUAUUUUAUUUUUUUACUGUUUAUAAUUCUGUAUGGUGUUAAAUAGUGUGUAACAAUAAGCGUGACAAAAAGACAGUGGGAAAAAUCGCCUGGACUGAAGCAGGGCUCUCCAUGUGAAGGCUGCACGGUCCUCUCACAUUCCAGCGCGUCGCAAAAAAAGGGGAUUUAGAGCGACUUAUUUUCUGAAAACUGUCCUCCCAUCCACAGAGCCAGCCAGUCUGCUCCCAUCAGCCUGAUACGGGCCUGCACAAAAAUUCACCCAGAAUAUUUACUGGGGACUUCCCACCGAGAGACACCGAGCAGCCGAGGACUAUUUAAAGGCACCGGAGCUGCAGUGUGCAUACACCCAGAGAUGAGGAGAAAUAAAGCGGGGGGGGGGGGGAGACAGAUAUAGGCCGCUUCUGCUAAUGGAGACUUUCACUUAUUUCACCUGGCACGCGUUCUGCAAGAAGACGAUGUGAAGAUAAAUAUGAAGAUUUCGACGAAAGGAAGCGGCUGAAUGGAUCAUAACCCCGGACUUCUUUUAACAACCAUCCGCAGAGGAAAAGUUUGGCUGUGAGUCUGCGAGGAACUACACAUUCAGGAGUUCGCCAACAAACAAACGGAUGCAAUUAAACACACUCGCCUUCAGAUCAUCAAUGAGGAGGCAAAGUCAAGACGGGUGGAAAAACCAACAAGGACAAAUGUAAGACGGAAGAAGACUCUGCUGCUUCAAGGUUACACUAGAACUGUGUUAAGAGCCCAACUUCACACAAUCUGGAUAGAUCUUACUUCUUCUACAAACACACAUCACAAGCUGUUUUUUAUUUUAUACAUCCUUAUCAUUUACAGCCUGAUAUAACUCUUAAUUGAUGUUAUUUUUUGGGAUAUUUGCUAAAAAAAAAUCUUCUGUUUCUUCAUUGCCACCACACUGUCUUGGAAGUAAUAAAAAAUAGUUUGCAAAUAAAGACUAUCAUUGUCAAACCA